CAUGAUCUGCCUAUCCAACUUUCGCAUGGUCAGGAUAGUGGUCCUACCAUGGUUUGCAACUGGGUAACGGGGACUAAGGGUUCGAUUCCGGAGAGGGAGCCUGAGAAACGGCAACACAUACCAAGGAAGGCAGCAGGCGCGCAAAUUACCCAAUCCCGACACGGGGAGGUAGUGACAAUAAAUACACAAUAUAGGGCUCUUUACGGGUCUUAUACAUUGGCAUGAGUACAAUUUACAUCCCUUAACGAGGAACAAUUGGAGGGCAAGUCUGGUGCCAGCAGCCGCGGUAACUUCCAGCUCCAAUAGCGUAUAUUAAAGUUGUGG
rnacentral:rRNA from 1 species